AAUUAGGCCUAGUUAGUAGUUAGCCUACUAAUUACUAGGCCUAUAGUAAUUAGAAUUAGAUUCUACUUUAGUGUACUAACUUAGUACUAAGUACUUGGCCUAAAAUUAAUAUUAAUUAUUAAUGAUACGUCAUACACUCAUACUUUAAGUUUAAUUAAGUCUAAAGUUUAAGUUAUAAACAGUAGAUCUAGAUACAAUAAUAAAAAUAUAUACCCUAUUAUAACAAAUCGUCAAAUAGUAUUAUUAUUUACUAGAUCUAGAUUCUAGGGCCUAUGUAUUUUAUUUAGAUCUAGAUCUCAGCCUUAUUUUAGUUAGACCUAGAUCUAUAAUAAUAAUAGUAUUAAGUAUAGGCCUGUUACUGUAUAUUAUAUAGACUAUAGCGUAUUUUCUUUUAUAGUGAACUAGGCCUAUAUGAUUAAUAUGAAUACUUUUAUUAAUAUAAUAGUAAUAGGUGUUAGUAUUAGUUUAGUUAGCUAGCUAGUAUUUAAGCUAUAUUUAGUAAUAAUAGAAUAAUUAGCUAGAUUUAUGUAAAACAGAAACCUUUAGACUUUACUUUUUAAUUUAGGCCCAUAAAUUGUUUUCUAGACUUUCUUUUGCUUAGAAAGUUAAGAACUGAUUAAAUUAGUAAUUAGGCCCUAUGUAUUAAUCAUAUUAUAGUUAAUUAUAGGCCCCUAAUUUAAAUUAGGCCUAUUUAGUUAUAAAGACUUUGCCUUUAUUCAUUUUAAUAAAUAGGCCCCUAUUUUAAAUCAAUGCCAUAUUUUUAAAAAAAAAAUCCUUUUCCUAGUACUUUUUCUUUUAGUACUAGAUCUAGAUGUACAUAAACUAGAUAUUACACGGUGACAGUAGGCUAGACCUAAUAACCGUAAUUACUAAUUAGUCGUCUGCUUAGUAGUUAGUCCUCGUAGAGAUAGUUAUCGUUAUAUAUAUAUAGACAAGUUAUAGUGUACCAGUAUUACUAGAUAAAAUUCUAUAUCUAGUAAUAGCUCUAGAAAUUCCAAAUUUGAUUUAAGCCCAAAGUGCGCCUAAAAAUUGGAUUAAUCUAAUAAUUACUAACAUAAGGGCCUAAUUAGUUUAAUUGUAAUAAGCUUUGUUUGACUUUGUGUUACUGUCAUUGAGCUUUUAGUUUAACAUUGAAAAUUUAAUUCAAAGAUUUUUAAAAAAAAAUCAGCAACUUCAAUCAAUCUAUAUAGCUAGAUUCUAGAUAUUCAUACUGUUGUACAAGGCUUACUUAGUAGAAAUUAAAUAUGCUAUAAUUACAGAAUUCUGACUAUAUCACUCAGAAUAAACAGAUAUGACUAAAUAAGCCUAAUGUAUAUUACAUUGUUUUAGAAGAAUUACUUUUGCUUUACAACCAAUAAAACAGUUGUGUGGUUUACACUUAAAGUCAGUAUCUCAAGCCAGUUACCCUUAAUGAUAAUGUACUCAAGCCCUCAAACCACUUCUCUGGUUUAUCAAUUGUGUGCUCUACUGCUUGACCAAUGAAUCCCAAUUUAGUAUUUGUAGGUCAUUGUAAAAAUAUAAAUUGAUAUAUCCUAAAUAAAUCUUUUAUCAAGU